rnacentral:rRNA from 1 species
UACGAGGGGGGCGAGCGUUGUUCGGAAUUAUUGGGCGUAAAGGGCUCGUAGGCGGUUUGUCGCGUCGGGAGUGAAAACUCAGGGCUUAACCCUGAGCCUGCUUCCGAUACGGGCAGACUAGAGGUAUGCAGGGGAGAACGGAAUUCCUGGUGUAGCGGUGAAAUGCGCAGAUAUCAGGAGGAACACCGGUGGCGAAGGCGGUUCUCUGGGCAUUACCUGACGCUGAGGAGCGAAAGUGUGGGGAGCGAACAGG